AGUGUAAGAUGAAGAGAGUAUCCUUCAGAAAAUAAACCCUUGGGUCAAGAACAAAAAUAUCAACAUAAGAACAGGAUUCACAUUUUUGGAUUAAGAAGAUUUCUGUAUCCUAAAGAACUAUGUAUUAAUGUCCGAAUACCCCAAAGAAAUCAAAAUGCACAGUUUCCACAACUAAAUCAGGGUGUGAAAAACUGAAGAGGAUACAGAGAGGCACCACCCAGAAGAUUCAAAGUAAACAAAAAGAAGUAUAUGAUGGCACUGGAUUGACUUGCUCAGUUGUAAAUCUAGUGGUCAACUUAAUAUUGCUGUAUCACACAGAAGAUGGUGAUGAACUGUCUCUUCCACUAUGGAAAGGAAACCAUUUUAAACUGAAGCAAGAAUGUAUUGACAGUUUGGAGAAAAGUGCUAUCCGAGCUUAUGUUUAAUCAUUUGAAUAAGUAGUUAUUGAGGGGAGGCUGUAAAGUCUUUCUCUGUAAGUAUUUAAAAACUGGAUAGAUUUUAAUUUUCCAGAAUGUCAUGUUAGAGUUUUGCCCUGUGAGCGCAGGCAGGAGGAGCGAGGAUGGACUAGAAUGGACCUUAACGAAGUCCCUCACUCCAAGAUGGAGUGUGCUUUCAAUGCAUCUCUCUCCUUCUCCCUUCCUCUUUCUAGAAUGACAUUAAAUUACCUUCUGCUUACAAACAAUGAGAAGCAAUAAGCUUUUGUUUCUCUUUGCUUUGUUUCCCAGACCACAUGCCUUCACCUUUCAUCACCACCACCAUCAUAGUGGGUCUUUCAUCCCACUAUGUGCUCCAAACUGCAAAAUUUAAUGUUAGGGAACCAUAUGCACAUGCGUGUGCAUGUGAGUGUGCGUGUGUGCGUGUAUGGUGGGGAAUAGGGAGGGAGAGCUAGGAAAAGAGUUUUACAAUAUAUCCAGAUAAGACUGACAGCCACGCCAUUCUUUUCAAACACACACACACACACACACA